UCUGUCCUAUACCAUGAGUUUUCAUGCCUAACUUUGAUCGUCCAUCUUAUUUAAAUUUUUUUCAUAAUUGAUAUUUUUAUAGUUACGAAAUGAUAAAACAUGAAUAUUAUUUUAUGCAAGACUUAUGUUUUUAAUUUUUUUAAAAUAUAAUUUUAAAUAAGACGAACGAUCAAAGUUGGACACGGAAAAUUAUGACUGCACUUAAA
rfam:Oryza rufipogon genomic scaffold, chr09